CCUACGGGAGGCAGCAGUGGGGAAUAUUGCACAAUGGGGGGAAGCCUGAUGCAGCGACGCCGCGUGGAUGAAGGAGUCCUUCGGUACGUAAAGCCCUUUCAGCAGGGAAGAAAAUGACGGUACCUGUCUAAGAAGCCCCGGCCAAAUACGGUCCAGCAGCCGCGGUAAUACGGAGGGGGCAAGCGUUAUCCGGAUUUACUGGGUGAAAAGGGAGUGUAGACGGCAGUGCAAGUCCGGAGUGAAAGCACGGGGCUCAACCCGGGGACUGCACGGGAAACUGGAAGGCUGGAGUGCGGGAGAGGUGGGCGGAAUUCCUGGUGUAGCGGUGAAAUGCGUAGAUAUCAGGAGGAACACCGGCGGCGAAGGCGGCCUGCUGGACCGUAACUGACGUUGAGGCUCGAAAGCGUGGGGAGCAAACAGGAUUAGAUACCCGAGUAGUC
rnacentral:rRNA from 1 species